GAAUUGAUGGAAGAGAGCGAGGGAAGGUGCACUCCUAUUUUUUGCAUGUACACUUCUAUUUUAAUUGCCUUUUUUAAAGAACCCCAACUUUCUCUCUUUACUUUUUCUUCAUUUCUCUCUUCCCUCUCCCUUCCAUUUUUUCCCAAUUUUUUUGUUUUCUAUUCUUUCCAUCCCAAUGGGUAAACUGGUUAGAUUCUUCUGCUAAAGUUCAAAAUGCCCACCCCUCUCAAGGAACUCACAGUAACACUCUUAUCUCCAUUUAUAUAUAUAUAUAUAUAUAUGAAUCUUUGACCCUUUUCUUUUCUUCUCUUAUUAUUUAUGUUUUUUCUCUCUAUUGGCCUUAUGGUUUCUGGGUUUUCCUUGGAUUUUUCAUUGCUUUGAUCUUCUGCUUGGUUUGGUUAUUUGGAAUUUUUGGUGGAUUCUGUUGUUUUCUUUUUCUUCUCUUUUCUUUCUAGUUUUAGCAAAUUUAAGAUCAGGCUGCUAGUUUUUAUGAUAUUGUGUAUUGGUUGAAGUUUCAAAUUGUUUAUUCUGUUUGGAAGGAAAAAAAAGAUCUAAAGACACAAAUGUAAUUUAUUAAAGUUAGUGGAAUUAAUUAUUUUAAAACUAGCACAUGUUUGAAUUCAAUAUUAUUGCAUGCUUCUUGUUUUUUUAGUUUUAAGUAGUAUAUGAGAUUUUGUCAAUGUUUGGGUAUAAUAAUCUAGUUUUUUACAGAGGUUUUGUCAAUGAAGGAUUCUAAGUACUCUUUCAUUUUUUGGACUUCCUCAUUUUAGUUCUCACUCACCUUAGUUUCUCCUGUUCCCACCAUUUGAUUGGAGAUUUGUUUUGUUAUUCCUUAAGGACUUGGUUGUUAUUCUCGAAUCAGUGUUCAGCCAUUUUUGUUGCCUUCUAAAUUCUAAAAGGUUGAGACACUAAAUAUGCUAGAUCAAGAAGUUGAGCCACAUAAACGAUUAGCAUCUUGAAAUUUUGUAAUAUUUUGGUAACUCCACUAGAAAUUCUCUGAAUUGUAACGUGGUUGAACAAGGUCAAUUUUCAAGCUUUCCCAUCUCAAUGGAUUAGUCACAUUAUUUCAGUUGUUUAAUUUUUCUUUAUUUAUCUAUAUUUUUUGCCAUAAAUUAUGUAGAUAUGAACAAUCCUUAUACUGAUAUCCACAUUUAGAAUUUGGAUAAAAUUGAAAACAUCUCUGGUUUGAUACAGAUGAAUUUCUGAUGAAAAGAAAAAGUCACCUAGUCCCCAAUUUCAGAGAUAAAUAUUAAUGAGAAGCCAACAAUACACCCUGACUUGGCAACUGCAGCCAAGAUAGAUGAAGGUCCUCCCUUCACAAACUCCGAGAUCAAAGAAGACUUUACCUUGACAGUUUGCCUUGCCUAUUAUUUCUUGUUUGCUUGACAGUUAAGACUGAAUAUUACAGACUUUGAAAGAAAAAUACUCUAGACAACCAUAAGCUUAUAUAUUUGGUACGUCAACAAGGCUUAGGAAACAACAAGAUCUUGUGGAGGAGUUGUGCAUUGAAUACUUGACUCACGAAAAAUACAUUGAUGACCGACAACUUAACUGUGAAUAAGAUUUUAGGAUGAUGUGAUUUUUGUGAACAACACUUAUUAUUACAUAUAAUUUAGGUUUUAUUAUUAAGAACAAUGUUCAUAACUCGUUUUGUAAUAGAACAAUAUAUAUAUGUUUUAUGUUGUAAGUAUA